UACAGAGGUCUCAAGCGUUGUUCGGAUUCAUUGGGCGUAAAGGGUGCGUAGGCGGCGCGGUAAGUCGGGUGUGAAAUCUCGGAGCUUAACUCCGAAACUGCAUUCGAUACUGCCGUGCUUGAGGACUGGAGAGGAGACUGGAAUUUACGGUGUAGCGGUGAAAUGCGUAGAUAUCGUAAGGAAGACCAGUGGCGAAGGCGGCUCACUGGACUGGUACUGACGCUGAUGCGCGAAGGCGUGGGGAGCAAACAGG
rnacentral:rRNA from 1 species